ensembl:lincRNA
CAGCCCGCCGCCGCCAUGGCCGCCCGGCCGCUCACCGAGGAGGCCUUCCACAGCCGGCCGCAGUCACGCUGCCCGCGACUAGGCCCCGUUAGGGGCGGAAGACGAGGGAGGCGGGCGGCCGCGUCGGCCCGAUAGGGGCUUCGCGGCGUGAGCGAACAGCUGCAGCCCGCAAGCGCGCCCCUACCCCGUGCUAGAGCCUAGCGCGCGCCCCGCGGCCGCCGGGACACUCCGCGCUCGCCGGGGCGGGCAGGAAGCGGCCGAGGAGAGGGACGGGCUGGAGAGGUCGGAGGUCAGCCGCAAGGCAUCGCGGGACGGCGGCCCCGGUGGAGGCGCUCGCCGGGGCCGCCUGCGACUGCGGCGCGGCUUCAGGCGGAGGGAUCUGGGCGAAGGAGGAGGCCGGCAGUGCACCAUAUUCCACUCCAGAGCCAGGAAACAAUGCUCAAAGAGAGGACCAGAGCACCCCACAAAGUGAAACGAAGCCAUUCUCGGUGCCAGCGAGGUCCCAAGCUCCUUGGAGGAUGAAAACUGCCAAGUUCAUCAGGAAAGCCAGCAUGACGAGCUCCUCCAAAACAACUAAGAGCUCCCCACAGCUUCUCUCAGCUCCCAACAGCCUCUCUCAGCUCCCAACAGUCUGCCUCUUAUGCUGCUGGCAACAGUCCUCAGGUGGGCCUCCCACACCCAGCACCACACUUACUCAGUUUAGCUGCGGGUUAUAAGUUGACCACCAGUUAUCAACCCACUACAAGCCCUGUCUUUGAGUUUUAUAUUUUGUGUAACCCCCAUACUUCUUCUUCUUUUUUUUUUUUUUUUUUGUCUUUUUGAGACAGGAUCUCGUUAUGCAGUUCAGGCUGGCCUUGAGCUCACUUUGUAGCCCAGGCUGGUCUUGAACUCGCAACGGUUCUCCUACCUCAGCAUCCCUAAUGCUGCGAUUACAGGCAAGCACCACAUGCCAGUGUAUGACUCCCAUACUUAUGCACAGUAAUAAAUAUAUAAUGGUGGCUAGGGGUGUAACUCAGUGGUAGAGUUCAUGCUUAGCAUGCAUAAGGUCCUGGGUUUCAUUCACAGUUCAAAAGAGAAUAAAGUAAAUGAGGCAUGCUUCUCUUUUGUUUAUCCAUCUUUUGUUGUAGGGCUAUUUGCCAUGACUCUUUAUCAUAGGCAGGAAGCAGAUUAUCCCUUUUUCACCUCCACAGAAAGAUAUUAGGUUUAUUUCCCUUGUCCUUUUAUAUCUUUAUUAAUUUUCUCUUUUUCCCCCCUCCAUUCUACUCUUCUGUGCCCCUGUGCUAUCAAUCACAACCAAAUCUUCAUCUCUUCUCAUGGACAAAUGCAGUGACUUCCUAAGUGAUCUUCUAUCCUUGUUUUUCAUCAACCCCACAUUCUCCAGCAUAGCUCUUUCUAAAUACAAAUCUGGAGAGUCCCACUCCAGGGAAAAUGGAGUAGGCAAUAUUUUUUGCAUGUUGCUGUCACUAAGUACAACUGAAAAUCUUGCGCAUAAGAAAACUGAAAUGGAGAGAAGGAGGCAAAGUGGCUAAGUACCUCAGGAUCCGAGGACUGGCAUCUGAGUGGGCUCCUUGGGUUUCUCUUUAAAAAAUUUUUUUUCAGUACCGGGGAUUUUUUGUGUGUGUGGUACCAGGAAUUGAACUCACGACCUCGUGCUUGCCAGGCAGGUGCUGUGCCACUGAGCUAAAUCCCCAGCCCCAGUACUGGGGAUUAAACCUAGGGCCUAUGCACUGAGCUAUGCCCACAGAUAAUUUUAUAUUUUAAUUCAAGGCAAGGGGCUAAUUCACUAAGUUAGCUAGGCUGUGCUCGAACUUGUGACCCUUCUGCCUCAGCUUCCCAUAGUACUGGGAUCCCAGGUGUGCACCACCACCUCUGGCCCUGGGUUUUCUUUUAGCUUCAGUGUCCAGAAGCUGGCCAAUUGGAAAAAUCAACAAGCACAGAUUAAAAACAAUACAAAAUCCCCUAAAAAAGAAAAGCUGUUCUCCACCAAAGGAUCAGGAAAAGGGCAGCAUACCAAAACAGACCCCUUUUAAACAGCAACUAGUAUACUUUGCUGGACAAGGGAGAAAAAUCAGUGUCCUCCACCCAUCCACUCCAGGAAAGGCUUCGGAUGAAAACACCCGGGAGCGGCAUGUGGUUAAUGAGGUAAGACCUCAGGGUAGGAUUUCACAACCUGGCGGAAUAGCAGGGAGCAUCACUUGGUGAUGCAACUAAGCAAAACAUCUGAGUGCUGGCCACAGCCAGAGUGAUGUGGGUUGUAGGGAGGGAGGUGAGGAGGGACUAAUGAAGCCCAGAUGGAGUGUGCUGGUCUGUUUCCAUUCACGGCCAGGCUCAUCCUCUACAGGAGGAGAAAGUUGGCAUAUGAUGGGUCACUGUUGUGAGAUCUGGGAAAUCUGCGUUUGCUGGCUGGUUUUCUGAAGAGUAAAAAGAAAGGAAGGAGGGGAAGAAAAGGGCAGAACAAAUGAAAAACUAUGUUUUGUUCAUCUUUAUAACCAGACAUCUAGGGAAGUAUGGUCGUGUGUGUUCCGUAUCCAGAUGGAACAGCUGACGCUCAGCGAGAUUAAAUGACAGCAUGGCUAAGAAAAGGUAAAGCCCCUGUCCGGAUGAAAUUAAACUGAUUCCAAAGCCCAUUCCUAAACACAGGGACACAUCCAAAAAAGGAGGAAUCUUCACCAUUGUGCUGAUACAGCUAACAUAGUGACAAACUAUGUGACAAAAUAUGUUUAGUCUCAUCAGACCAUUCUAUGAUAAAAGUUAGUGUCCCCUCCUUGGAAUAUCCUUAUUUUAUAGCAGUAGACCCUUGAACAGAAAGACAAGUCUCCU